GCUGAGCGACCAGGCCCAGGAAAGUCAGCGCUCUUUGUCUGUCGUUUUGUGAAGGUUACUGAGGCAAGGUGGUUCACUGCUGGCGUUGAAAGGUUUAUACCGUUUGAACGCUGAAAGAAACUGGCGGAACACUGCUAGUGUGAUAGGGCUCUUUCAUAAAAUCGUGUCACAAACUCUAUGCGUCGCCAAGUAAACUCAACCAAGCCAGAGAGUAGAUUCUUCAAGAUUCCACAAAACCCAGAUACAAAGUUUUCCAUGUAAGCAGUGCUUCUAAACUUGCUGGUAUUGGUAAGUAGCAAAAUUCAUUU